GCGCCGGUGGUGUAAUGGUGCACAUCAUUCCCGCCCGUUCAGCAGGAGGUGCUGGUUCGAGUCCCGCCUGGCGUU
rnacentral:tRNA from 1 species